AUACGUAGGUGCCAAGCGUUAUCCGGAUUUACUGGGCGUAAAGGGCGUGUAGGCGGUCUUGCAAGUCAGAAGUGAAAUUCCUGAGCUCAACUCGGGCGCUGCUUCUGAAACUGCAGGACUUGAGUGCUGGAGGGGAUAGCGGAAUUCCUAGUGGAGCGGUAAAAUGCGCAGAUAUUAGGAAGAACACCGGUGGCGAAGGCGGCUAUCUGGACAGUAACUGACGCUGAGGCGCGAAAGCGUGGGGAGCAAACAGGAUUAGAUACCCUGGUAGUCCAAGCUGUAAAUUAUGCAUGCUAGAUGUUUUGGACCCUUGUGGUCUGGAGUGUCGUAAUCUAACGAGUUAAGCAUGCCGCCUGGGUAGUAUAUUCGCAAGAAUGAAACUCAAAGGAAUUGGCGGGG
rnacentral:rRNA from 1 species